AGAGACUCUGCCUUGGGCCCACCAGUGUAAUAAACUACACUCCACUAUCUGCAUCGUCCUGAGUGAGUUUGUUUCCCGGAUCGCAUGGCUACAACAGAAGGAGCAGAAGGUUAUGUAAAAUUUUAACUUUUCAGCUUCAACCGCACCUCCCUCCAUCUUCCCUAAUGCCAGUCCUGUCCUUUAGAGGAGCCCCUCCCCUAGGGAGGUGUUCAACAGAAUUCCAAGUGUUAGUCUAUGGAGACAUUGUUCUUGAGCUUGUGGGCUUCGAAGAGAUUUUCCAGCUCCUGCAUGUAGCGCUGAUGGAGCCUGUCCACCUCCUCCUGGGAGCGAUGCAGUGUCUUCUGCACCUCAAUGGGCUUCUCCACUGCAAGACACAGAGGCCAACAGCCAGGCAGCACCAUACUUCCUGGGGCAGAAAGGCUCCCGUGUGGUCUGAGGACCUGCCUGUGUCCACGAGCUGCCUGUUACUGGUUCCCGACAAGAUGGCUUCCUGAUGGCUCAGGGGUAAAUAUUCCACCGGCCAAUGCAGAAGACACAAGAUUGAUCCCUUGGUCAAGAAGAGCCUCUGGAGAAGGAAAUGGCAACCAAGUUCAGUAUCUUGGCCUGGGGAAUCCCAUGGACAAAAGAGCCUGGUGGGCUACAUUGCAAAGAGUUGGACAUGACUUAGUGACUAAACAACAGCAAAGAAAAGUCGAUGGUGGGUUAGAAAAAAAGAAAUAAUACCAAAAUCUGGACCUGUACCACAACAUAUUGAGGUGAUAUGCCCACUAACUAGGGCAACUCCAACAAG
ensembl:lncRNA